UGUAGCAGAGAAAGAAGGGACAUUUUGGCCGGGGCAGAGCAAACAUGAGGCAUUUUAUCUAUUAGCCUUGAAAGUUUUGGCGGCUGCGGGGCUCAACCGGCGGCGAAGGGGACGCGCUCCUGGGGCAGCCUCUGCCGUUGCCGCGGAAGACGACGGGGAGACCCCUUCCUCUCGGACGCGGCACCCUCGUCCUCGAGAGUCCAGUUCAGGAAUGUGGCGUCGCGGGCGCGGUGGGUGGAGGAGGCUGGUGCGGCGGAGGUGUUGGACAACAAGGGGAAGCUUUGGCUGACCACCGGCGUAGCUGAGAGCCGACGCGUGUGGAGGAGAUCGGAGACAAGCCACCUUCAAGGGAUGAACUGGAAACGGUAGAGAACAAGUUUGACGGCAUUCCUCUUAAAUUCUGUCAAGUUGAUAAUGGGGAUAUCAGCUUCCUCUCCUUUGAUAAAGUUACACUUCCUACUUUGCCCUGAUAGAUAGCCGCAGGAAUGGUUUUUAGCUUUCGCCUGUUCUGUCCUGUAAAGCUCCCACUGGCUGCAUCAGGAUGUCUGCUUCUGUGCCGCUUCUCAGGGCCGAGAAAGUUGCCAGGAAAAUUUGGGUUUUCCAACUGCGAUGAAUGCCACACUUUUCGGGCUGAGAAAGUUUCCAGGUUGAUCUUCAGGUUCUUCAGUUGGAAUGCUCAUGAGCAGCGAGCGUGUCAGGAAGCGAAAUCAUGAUGUUUUUUCCUUUGGUAACGAGGAGUGCAUCAUUUCGCGAGGCUCCCUAACAUAGUAGAUUGCCUUUAACUUCUAGCUGGAACUUGCAACCUAUAGAGAUGUUCUAUAUUUCGAAAGGAAGGCGUAUCAGAUUUGCAGUUCAGAAAACAUGUUGUGUUCGAGCAAGAGAUCAUCGAACCACUGUCAUUCGGCCAGGCUAGCUCAUGUUUGAUUAGUAUUGUAUAACUAGCACUCUGUCACUGAGGUGAUUUGCCAUAUGCGUACAAAUAAUGAUAUCAUGAUAAACAGACGUAGCCUACCUGUAAUUUUAUUUUUUGCGGGUGAGCCUACCUGUAAUGUUACUUCAGCUAGCGGAUGCCGCAUCUCCACUGAUACAAAAAGCACCACUUCCCGAGGUCCUGCCACGCUAGGAAGCUCGAGUGCCUGAGCUAUCGAUGUUGGUCUAAACUUCUAUG